AUUGAACGCUGGCGGCAGGCCUAACACAUGCAAGUCGAGCGAGCGGCGGACGGGUGAGUAAUUCAUGGGAAUUACCCAGUCGAGGGGAGGAACAGAUGGAAACGACUGGUAAUAACGUAUACGAUUUGAUUGCAAGGGUGGGAUUAGCUAGUUGGUGAGGUAAUGGCUCACCAAGGGGACGAUCCAUAGCUGGGCAGAGAGGAUGAUCAGCCACACUGGAACUGAGACACGGCCCAGACUCCUACGGGAGGCAGCAGUGGGGAAUAUUGCACAAUGGGGGAAACCCUGAUGCAGCAAUGCCGCGUGUGGGAAGAAGGCCUUCGGUUGGUAAAGCACUUUUAGCGAGGAGGCGUUACUCGACGAAGAAGCAACGGCUAACUCCGUGCCAGCAGCCGCGGUAAUAC
rnacentral:rRNA from 1 species